GUUUAUAUGAUGGAACAAAUCACUCGGAUUCCCAAUGAUAAAAAAUGUGAUCAUUAUCAGCUACUUUUGAC
rfam:Brassica napus, WGS project CCCW01000000 data, contig: 11680